rnacentral:rRNA from 1 species
GGUGAACGCUGGCGGCGUGCCUAAUACAUGCCAGUCGAGCGAACGGACGAGAAGCUUGCUUCUCUGAUGUUAGCGGCGGACGGGUGAGUAACACGUGGAUAACCUACCUAUAAGACUGGGAUAACUUCGGGAAACCGGAGCUAAUACCGGAUGAUAUUUUGAACCGCAUGGUUCAAAAGUGAAAGACGGUCUUGCUGUCACUUAUAGAUGGAUCCGCGCUGCAUUAGCUAGUUGGUAAGGUAACGGCUUACCAAGGCAACGAUGCAUAGCCGACCUGAGAGGGUGAUCGGCCACACUGGAACUGAGACACGGUACAGACUCCUACGGGAGGCAGCAGUAGGGAAUCUUCCGCAAUGGGCGAAAGCCUGACGGAGCAACGCCGCGUGAGUGAUGAAGGUCUUCGGAUCGUAAAACUCUGUUAUUAGGGAAGAACAUAUGUGUAAGUAACUGUGCACAUCUUGACGGUACCUAAUCAGAAAGCCACGGCUAACUACGUG